rnacentral:lncRNA from 1 species
ACAGCAAGAAGAUCGAUCUACCAGACGGGCUAUGCGUUGAAAUAUCUCCUGACGGUUGUACAUACCACGAUGGUCUUUGCUUCCAUUGUUUGGUAACUGACGUCUACUACCCCACUAUGGAUGACUGCAAGAGCAAUUGCAACAAAUCCUCGUCUUUACAAGACGUGCUAGUUGCCAUGACAACCUCCCCUCCUCCUCCUUUAUCUGCUCCUUAAUUUUCCGGCCUAGACAAUGGUUAUAUGUACAAGAUUGUCCCCUGAAAAUAAUGCCUAUGUGCGGAAACCAGUUAUGCAAUGCGAGUAAUAUACUGCAGCAGUUGUUGCUGAGUAUUUUGGUUUGGCAAAUCACAUUUGAACCUUUACUAGGAAUUGUUGGGAGAGCGAUGAAAUGACUCGCAAGCGCAGAUGCUCCGGAAAUCUGAGUGGUACAGCUUAGCUUGGGAUCUGUGUCGGUUAAAUCUGUGUCACAUAUACGUUUUAGAAUACAGAGGUGAAUACAUCUGCAGAUGGGCUAUACUGGACCAUAGUACUAACUCCUCGCAAAGUCGCAAGUCUCCUCUGUUCAAGUCCAUCGAUGUCCCAUGCAAAAUAAAAUGAAAUAAGUCCAUCGAUCUCUCACUUAAAAAGAGUCCUAUGGCUAUGGAUGACCAGGGAGGCCGCCCUUGGCCAAUAUCCGGCGCCGGUGAGUUCGUCUACCCUGUCAUGGUGGGUUUCUCAUCUAUCCUACCUCUCAUGAGGCGUCCGGUUCUUGUCUUUCCCAAGCUCACAUUAAUAUUCCCAAAUCAGCCCUCGGCCGGCCUUGGCGACAUCAUCUUCAUCCACUCCCGUGCUGCACACACCCAUUUCUCUGAUCUCUUAAAGCAACUCUAGCCGAGCCCAUAAAAGAUACAGGAGUAUUUGGCCGGGUAAACCUUAAUGGAGUAAAUUUAGUCCACUAAGUUUUGGUCGGUUCUAGCUGAUCCCCUAAAUUUAGCGGAGUAAAAUAAAAUUUGGUUAAGAUGAACAUAGAUUCGAUCUAAACAAACUUCUAAACCGAAAUUCGACACGUAAUUUACAUUAUCAUCCGUCGAAACAUAGUUCAAAGUGAUACUAAAACUUGAACUCAAACAUAAGCUAAAAUCUAAAUCUAACCAAAAAAAUUAGUCGCUAUUCGACUUUGCGAGGGAGAGCAAGUCCUCCCUAGAGAUUCCACCGCCCAUGGGGUCAGUCCCUAGGUCGUCUUCGUUGUAUCCAGGAAGGUCCUUCACCACUCCUCGAUGUUGAAGCUGUCAUCGUUGCCGCCUCCACUGCCACCAUUGUUGCCGCCUCCACCGAGCCAGCUCGUCAUCGACCAGCGCCCACGUGCAUCUAGGGAUCAUACAUUCAACAGGGGGUGACUCCAUGAGUCAGGUGAUCCACAAAAACCGCAUGAGCUAGAGUCCGCCAUAUGGCUGUGUGCCCAAUAUCAUUUGUUGCUAAAGAAUGUAUGGAUAGAUGCCAAAGGAACAGCCUCACGUUUCCCGGCACCAGAACUUUCCAUAAACUUUUCCAUGAGCCCUCUUCAGCAGCCGAGGUGGAGGAACCAUCCCUUUGAUCUAAGCAUGACUAUUGGAGAACUAAUUACAAUUAUGAAAUAUACAAAUAUAGACAUAGGAGAUAAGUCCAACCAAAUUUGGGAACUUGUCUAAAAAGGGAGAAAAUUAGUCUGACUUGAUUUUGCUUUUAAUGAGGGUUCAUAAUAUAGGAUGAUAUUAAAUAAUCCAAUUUUAUUGCUUGAUGGUUUACACGGGAUAAGGAUGACCGGUUCUCUCUUCUCUCAAUAUAUACGAUCGACUCAUGUGCUCAUUGGUAACCAAACAUUUCUCAUCGACAACCAAAGUGACCUGAGUGCCUGCGUAGCUAGUGUUGUAUCUGGUUGGCCAUGGACAAGUACACGAUUCGCAUCCUUGCACUAGGAGCCCUAGUGUGUCUACAUCUCGUAUGCUCUGCUACUGUUGCUCAAUGUAAGGCAGCUAGCAUACCAAUAUUUAUGUAUCUUCACAAUGCUUAAUUUUUCUUCACUUGUCCUGGCUGGAAGUAUGUACCUAGUAUAGCUAUCAAAGGCCUUUCUAUUUUGCUUUGUAACUGGUUCCAUCGUUUAUAUGCAUAUAUAUACAUACACACUACUCUAAAAUAAUUGCAUAACGAUGGUUGUUCGUUUGUUAUUACUCCAUAAUAUACAGGCCAAAUCAUGGCUGACACCGACAGCAAGAAGAUCGAUCUACCAGACGGGCUAUGCGUUGAAAUAUCUCCUGACGGUUGUACAUACCACGAUGGUCUUUGCUUCCAUUGUUUGGUAACUGACGUCUACUACCCCACUAUGGAUGACUGCAAGAGCAAUUGCAACAAAUCCUCGUCUUUACAAGACGUGCUAGUUGCCAUGACAACCUCCCCUCCUCCUCCUUUAUCUGCUCCUUAAUUUUCCGGCCUAGACAAUGGUUAUAUGUACAAGAUUGUCCCCUGAAAAUAAUGCCUAUGUGCGGAAACCAGUUAUGCAAUGCGAGUAAUAUACUGCAGCAGUUGUUGCUGAGUAUUUUGGUUUGGCAAAUCACAUUUGAACCUUUACUAGGAAUUGUUGGGAGAGCGAUGAAAUGACUCGCAAGCGCAGAUGCUCCGGAAAUCCGAGUGGUACAGCUUAGCUUGGGAUCUGUGUCGGUUAAAUCUGUGUCACAUAUACGUUUUAGAAUACAGAGGUGAAUACAUCUGCAGAUGGGCUAUACUGGACCAUAGUACUAACUCCUCGCAAAGUCGCAAGUCUCCUCUCUUCAAGUCCAUCGAUGUCCCAUGCAAAAUAAAAUGAAAUAAGUCCAUCGAUCUCUCACUUAAAAAGAGUCCUAUGGCUAUGGAUGACCAGGGAGGCCGCCCUUGGCCAAUAUCCGGCGCCGGUGAGUUCGUCUACCCUGUCAUGGUGGGUUUCUCAUCUAUCCUACCUCUCAUGAGGCGUCCGGUUCUUGUCUUUCCCAAGCUCACAUUAAUAUUCCCAAAUCAGCCCUCGGCCGGCCUUGGCGACAUCAUCUUCAUCCACUCCCGUGCUGCACACACCCAUUUCUCUGAUCUCUUAAAGCAACUCUAGCCGAGCCCAUAAAAGAUACAGGAGUAUUUGGCCGGGUAAACCUUAAUGGAGUAAAUUUAGUCCACUAAGUUUUGGUCGGUUCUAGCUGAUCCCCUAAAUUUAGCGGAGUAAAAUAAAAUUUGGUUAAGAUGAACAUAGAUUCGAUCUAAAUAAACUUCUAAACCGAAAUUCGACACGUAAUUUACAUUAUCAUCCGUCGAAACAUAGUUCAAAGUGAUACUAAAACUUGAACUCAAACAUAAGCUAAAAUCUAAAUCUAACCAAAAAAAUUAGUCGCUAUUCGACUUUGCGAGGGAGAGCAAGUCCUCCCUAGAGAUUCCACCGCCCAUGGGGUCAGUCCCUAGGUCGUCUUCGUUGUAUCCAGGAAGGUCCUUCACCACUCCUCGAUGUUGAAGCUGUCAUCGUUGCCGCCUCCACUGCCACCAUUGUUGCCGCCUCCACCGAGCCAGCUCGUCAUCGACCAGCGCCCACGUGCAUCUAGGGAUCAUACAUUCAACAGGGGGUGACUCCAUGAGUCAGGUGAUCCACAAAAACCGCAUGACCUAGAGUCCGCCAUAUGGCUGUGUGCCCCAACAUCAUUUGUUGGUAAAGAAUGUAUGGAUAGAUGCCAAAGGAACAGCCUCACGUUUCCCGGCACCAGAACUUUCCAUAAACUUUUCCAUGAGCCCUCUUCAGCAGCCGAGGUGGAGGAACCAUCCCUUUGAUCUAAGCAUGACUAUUGGAGAAUUAAUUACAAUUCUGAAAUAUACAAAUAUAGACAUAGGAGAUAAGUCCAACCAAAUUUGGGAACUUGUCUAAAAAGGGAGAAAAUUAGUCUGACUUGAUUUGUGCUUUUAAUGAGGGUUCAUAAUAUAGGAUGAUAUUAAAUAAAUCCAAUUUUAUUGCUUGAUGGUUUACACGGGAUAAGGAUGACCGGUUCUCUCUUCUCUCAAUAUAUACGAUCGACUCAUGUGCUCAUUGGUAACCAAACAUUUCUCAUCGACAACCAAAGUGACCUGAGAGCUUGCGUAGCUACUGUUGUAUCUGGUUGGCCAUGGACAAGUACACGAUUCGCAUCCUUGCACUAGGAGCCCUAGUGUGUCUACAUCUCGUAUGCUCUGCUACUGUUGCUCAAUGUAAGGCAGCUAGCACACCCAUAUUUAUGUAUCUUCACAAUGCUUAAUUUUUCUUCACUUGUCCUGGCUGGAAGUAUGUACCUAGUAUAGCUAUCAAAGGCCUUUCUAUUUUGCUUCGUAACUGGUUCCAUCGUUUAUAUGCAUAUAUAUACAUACACACUACUCUAAAAUAAUUGCAUAACGAUGGUUGUUCGUUUGUUAUUAUUCCAUAAUAUACAGGCCAAAUCAUGGCUGACACCGACAGCAAGAAGAUCGAUCUACCAGACGGGCUAUGCGUUGAAAUAUCUCCUGACGGUUGUACAUACCACGAUGGUCUUUGCUUCCAUUGUUUGGUAACUGACGUCUACUACCCCACUAUGGAUGACUGCAAGAGCAAUUGCAACAAAUCCUCGUCUUUACAAGACGUGCUAGUUGCCAUGACAACCUCCCCUCCUCCUCCUUUAUCUGCUCCUUAAUUUUCCGGCCUAGACAAUGGUUAUAUGUACAAGAUUGUCCCCUGAAAAUAAUGCCUAUGUGCGGAAACCAGUUAUGCAAUGCGAGUAAUAUACUGCAGCAGUUGUUGCUGAGUAUUUUGGUUUGGCAAAUCACAUUUGAACCUUUACUAGGAAUUGUUGGGAGAGCGAUGAAAUGACUCGCAAGCGCAGAUGCUCCGGAAAUCCGAGUGGUACAGCUUAGCUUGGGAUCUGUGUCGGUUAAAUCUGUGUCACAUAUACGUUUUAGAAUACAGAGGUGAAUACAUCUGCAGAUGGGCUAUACUGGACCAUAGUACUAACUCCUCGCAAAGUCGCAAGUCUCCUCUCUUCAAGUCCAUCGAUGUCCCAUGCAAAAUAAAAUGAAAUAAGUCCAUCGAUCUCUCACUUAAAAAGAGUCCUAUGGCUGUGGAUGACCAGGGAGGCCGCCCUUGGCCAAUAUCCGGCACCGGUGAGUUCGUAUACCCUGUCAUGGUGGGUUUCUCAUCUAUCCUACCUCUCAUGAGGCGUCCGGUUCUUGUCUUUCCCAAGCUCACAUUAAUAUUCCCAAAUCAGCCAUCGGCCGGCCUUGGCGACAUCAUCUUCAUCCACUCCCGUGCUGCACACACCCAUUUCUCUGAUCUCUUAAAGCAACUCUAGCCGAGCCCAUAAAAGAUACAGGAGUAUUUGGCCGGGUAAACCUUAAUGGAGUAAAUUUAGUCCACUAAGUUUUGGUCGGUUCUAGCUGAUCCCCUAAAUUUAGCGGAGUAAAAUAAAAUUUGGUUAAGAUGAACAUAGAUUCGAUCUAAACAAACUUCUAAACUGAAAUUCGACACGUAAUUUACAUUAUCAUCCGUCGAAACAUAGUUCAAAGCGAUACUAAAACUUGAACUCAAACAUAAGCUAAAAUCUAAAUCUAACCAAAAAAAUUAGUCGCUAUUCGACUUUGCGAGGGAGAGCAAGUCCUCCCUAGAGAUUCCACCGCCCAUGGGGUCAGUCCCUAGGUCGUCUUUGUUGUAUCCAGGAAGGUCCUUCACCACUUAUCGAUGUUGAAGCUGUCAUCGUUGCCGCCUCCACUGCCACCAUUGUUGCCGCCUCCACCGAGCCAGCUCGUCAUCGACCAGCGCCCACGUGCAUCUAGGGAUCAUACAUUCAACAGGGGGUGACUCCAUGAGUCAGGUGAUCCACAAAAACCGCAUGAGCUAGAGUCCACCAUAUGGCUGUGUGCCCAAUAUCAUUUGUUGCUAAAGAAUGUAUGGAUAGAUGCCAAAGGAACAGCCUCACGUUUCCCGGCACUAGAACUUUCCAUAAACUUUUCCAUGAGCCCUCUUCAGCAGCCGAGGUGGAGGAACCAUCCCUUUGAUCUAAGCAUGACUAUUGGAGAAUUAAUUACAAUUAUGAAAUAUACAAAUAUAGACAUAGGAGAUAAGUCCAACCAAAUUUGGGAACUUGUCUAAAAAGGGAGAAAAUUAGUCUGACUUGAUUUGUGCUUUUAAUGAGGGUUCAUAUUAUAGGAUGAUAUUAAAUAAAUCCAAUUUUAUUGCUUGAUGGUUUACACGGGAUAAGGAUGACCAGUUCUCUCUUCUCUCAAUAUAUACGAUCGAUUCAUGUGCUCAUUGGUAACCAAACAUUUCUCAUCGACAACCAAAGUGACCUGAGAGCUUGCGUAGCUAGUGUUGUAUCUGGUUGGCCAUGGACAAGUACACGAUUCGCAUCCUUGCACUAGGAGCCCUAGUGUGUCUACAUCUCGUAUGCUCUGCUACUGUUGCUCAAUGUAAGGCAGCUAGCACACCGAUAUUUAUGUAUCUUCACAAUGCUUAAUUUUUCUUCACUUGUCCUGGCUGGAAGUAUGUACCUAGUAUAGCUAUCAAAGGCCUUUCUAUUUUGCUUUGUAACUGGUUCCAUCGUUUAUAUGCAUAUAUAUACAUACACACUACUCUAAAAUAAUUGCAUAACGAUGGUUGUUCGUUUGUUAUUAUUCCAUAAUAUAUAGGCCAAAUCAUGGCUGACACCGAUAGCAAGAAGAUCGAUCUACCAGACGGGCUAUGCGUUAAAAUAUCUCCUGAUGGUUGUACAUACCACGAUGGUCUUUGCUUCCAUUGUUUGGUAACUGACGUCUACUACCACACUAUGGAUGACUGCAAGAGCAAUUGUAACAAAUCCUCGUCUUUACAAGACGUGCUAGUUGCCAUGACAACCUCCCCUCCUCCUCCUUUAUCUGCUCCUUAAUUUUCCGGCCUAGACAAUGGUUAUAUGUACAAGAUUGUCCCCUGAAAAUAAUGCGUAUGUGCGGAAACCAGUUAUGCAAUGCGAGUAAUAUACUGCAGCAGUUGUUGCUGAGUAUUUUGGUUUGGCAGAUCACAUUUGAACCUUUACUAGCAAUUGUUGGGAGAGCGAUGAAAUGACUCGCAAGCGCAGAUGCUCCGGAAAUCUGAGUGGUACAACUUAGCUUGGGAUCUGUGUCAGUUAACUCUUUGUCACAUAUACGUUUUAGAAUACAGAGGUGAAUACAUUUGCAGAUGGGCCAUACUGGACCAUAGUACUCAGUACUCGCAAAGUCACAAGUCUCCUCUCUUCAAGUCCAUCGAUGUCCCAUGCAAAAUAAAAUGAAAUAAGUUCAUCGAUCUCUCGCUUAAAAAGAGUCCUAUGGCUGUGGAUGACCAAGGAGGCCGCCCUUGGCCAAUAUCCGGCACCAGUGAGUUCUUCUACCCUGUCAUGGUGGGUUUCGCAU